GGUCAGGUUUUUUAAGAGCAUUCGGUGGAUGCCUUGGCACCAGGAGCCGAAGAAGGACGUUGUAGCCUGCGAUAAGCCUCGGGGGAGCUGGCAAACGAGCUGUGAUCCGAGGGUGUCCGAAUGGGGGAAACCCGGCCAGAGUCAUGUCUGGUUACCCCGCGCCUGAAUAUAUAGGGGCGUGUGGGGGGGGGAACGCGGGGGAAGUGAAAACAUCUCAGUACCCCGCAGGAAGAGAUAUUCCGUGAGUAGUGGCGAGCGAAAAGCGGACGAGGCUAAACCGGGGGGUGUGUGACAGCCGGCGGGCGUUGCACCCUCGGGGUCGUGGGACCUGCUGACCAGCUCUGCCGGGCUGGUGGGGAGUGAGAAAGUCGCGGUGUAGUCGAACGGUCUGGGAAGGCCGGGCACAGUGGGUGAGACCCCCGUAGACGAAACGUCGUGGCCUCC
rnacentral:ncRNA from 1 species